rnacentral:rRNA from 1 species
UACGGGGGGGGCAAGCGUUGUUCGGAAUUACUGGGCGUAAAGCGCACGUAGGCGGCUUUCUAAGUCGGGGGUGAAAUCCUGGAGCUCAACUGCAGAACUGCCUUCGAUACUGGAAAGCUCGAGUCCGGGAGAGGUGAGUGGAACUGCGAGUGUAGAGGUGAAAUUCGUAGAUAUUCGCAAGAACACCAGUGGCGAAGGCGGCUCACUGGCCCGGUACUGACGCUGAGGUGCGAAAGCGUGGGGAGCAAACAGG